rnacentral:rRNA from 1 species
AGUCGAGAAUUUUUCACAAUGGGGGAAACCCUGAUGGAGCGACGCCGCGUGGGGGAUGAAUGGCUUCGGCCCGUAAACCCCUGUCAUUCGAGAACAAAUUGGUUCAAUUAACACCUGAACCAUUGAUAGUACCGGAAGAGGAAGGGACGGCUAACUCUGUGCCAGCAGCCGCGGUAAUACAGAGGUCCCAAGCGUUGUUCGGAUUCACUGGGCGUAAAGGGUGCGUAGGCGGUCGGGUAAGUCUGAUGUGAAAUCUCACAGCUUAACUGUGAAACUGCAUUGGAUACUAUUCGGCUAGAGAGUUGGAGGGGGGACUGGAAUUCUUGGUGUAGCAGUGAAAUGCGUAGAUAUCAAGAGGAACACCAGUGGCGAAGGCGAGUCCCUGGACAACUUCUGACGCUGAGGCACGAAAGCUAGGGGAGCAAA